rnacentral:rRNA from 1 species
UACGUAGGGGGCGAGCGUUGUCCGGAAUCAUUGGGCGUAAAGCGCGUGUAGGCGGCCCGGUAAGUCCGCUGUGAAAGUCCAGGGCUCAACCCUGGGAUGCCGGUGGAUACUGUCGGGCUCGAGUCCGGAAGAGGCGAGUGGAAUUCCUGGUGUAGCGGUGAAAUGCGUAGAGAUCCGGAGGAACACCAGCGGCGAAGGCGGCGUCCUGGACUGGUACUGACGCUCAGGAGCGAAAGCGUGGGGAGCGAUCCGG